rnacentral:lncRNA from 1 species
AAACGAAAAAAAUGGCAAAAACGAAAAAAAUGGAAAAAACGAAAAAAAUGGCAAAAACGAAAAAAAUGGAAAAAACGAAAAAAAUGGCAAAAACGAAAAAAACGUCAAAAUGUGUGGUGUGAUAGUUAAAAGAUCCGCUAGACUUAUGGAAAUACAAAAUGCAAAAAAUAAAAAUAAUAAAGCAUUAGAUAAUAAUAAAAUAAAGAAAGAAACUAAUCAUCGUACUACUAAUACAGUAAAUAACAAAACUGGAGUUAUAAAUAGAAAUGAUGUUUUAGUAAGAACAGAAUCAAGCGAAGAAAGAGAUAAUGUAAUUGCGCAGAAUACAGGAACUGUAGCAGUAAAAAAGGAAGCACAAGAAAAGGCACACGAUAAGACACAGGAUAAGGCACAAUAUAAGGCACAAGAUAAGGCACAAGAUAAGGCACAAUAUAAGGCACAAGAUAAGGCACAAGAUAAGGUACAAGAUAAGGAACAAGAUAAGGAACAAGAUAAGGAACAAGAUAAGGCACAAGAUAAGGUACAAGAUAAGGCACAAGAUAAGGCACAAGAGAAAACGCAGGAAAAGGCGCAAGAGUCAGUGCAAGAGAAAACACAAAAAAAAACGAAAAAUCAAAAGAAUGAACCAAAAACAGAACCAAAAACAGAACCAAAACAAACCAGUCAAUGCAUGAGAAGUCAUAGUACUUCGAACUCUAAUGAAAAUCGAUUAAAUGUCGAUGAUUAUAUUUUUGUUGAUUUCCAACCAACAACUUAUGAAUAUGGAGUCGUGAAAGAAUAUUUAAAAAAAUAUGUUAAUGAGUCCCAACAAAAUGGCUCAGGAGUUAAAACAAGCAAAAAAAUCAUGACAUGUAAAAGAAACUUAUGUUCCGAUUUUAUUAUUUACGAAGAAAAUACAAAUACAAUAGACUCAGAACAUUCAAAUAAUGAAAAUAUUCAACAUAAUGAAGCAUAUAUUCAACAAAAAUACCUUAAUGUGAAAAAAAAAAUAUUACAAAAUAACAUUAAUGUAUUUAAUUAUGAUUUCGAUAACAACAUAUGCUACUUAUUAGUCAAAAAAGACUAAUUUAUUUUUUUAUUAAGUAUGUUACUUUUAUGUUUCUUUAACUUUGUUAGAUUCAUUUUGUUAUAUUCAUUUUGUCAUAUUUAUUUUGUCAUAUUUAUUUUUUCAUAUUCAUUUUGUUACAUUCAUUUUGUUUUUCUUUUUAUUUAUAUUUUCUAUUUACCUUUUUGUGCUACACAUGUAAAUGCAAGCAUUUAUACAUAUCAAGUAAGUCAUUUAUGCUCUCAUUCCCUAUACAUAUAU